rnacentral:rRNA from 1 species
AGUGAACGCUGGCGGUAGGCCUAACACAUGCAAGUCGAACGGCAGCACAGUAAGAGCUUGCUCUUACGGGUGGCGAGUGGCGGACGGGUGAGGCAUACAUCGGAAUCUACUUUUUCGUGGGGGAUAACGUAGGGAAACUUACGCUAAUACCGCAUACGACCUACGGGUGAAAGCAGGGGAUCUUCGCACCUUGCGCGAUUGAAUGAGCCGAUGUCGGAUUAGCUAGUUGGCGGGGUAAAGGCCCACCAAGGCGACGAUCCGUAGCUGGUCUGAGAGGAUGAUCAGCCACACUGGAACUGAGACACGGUCCAGACUCCUACGGGAGGCAGCAGUGGGGAAUAUUGGACAAUGGGCGCAAGCCUGAUCCAGCCAUACCGCGUGAGUGAAGAAGGCCUUCGGGUUGUAAAGCCCUUUUGUUGGGAAAGAAAGGCAGCAGGUUAAUACCCCGCUGUUCUGACGGUACCCAAAGAAUAAGCACCGGCUAACUUCGUG